rnacentral:rRNA from 1 species
GCUUAAAGAGCACGUAGGCGGACAGUCAAGCGUCUUGUGAAAUCCCUCGGCUUAACCGAGGAACUGCUUGGCGAACUGGCUGUCUUGAGGCAAGUAAGGGCGCGUGGAACUCUUGGUGGAGCGGUGGAAUGCGUAGAUAUCAAGAGGAACGCCGGAGGUGAAGACGGCGCGCUGGGCUUGUCCUGACGCUGAGGUGCGAAAGCCAGGGGAGCGAACGGGAUUAGAUACCCCGGUAGUCCUGGCCCUAAACGAUGUCCACUAGGUCGAUGGUUCUCUGACGGAUUGUCGGCCGAAACCAAAGCGUUAAGUGGACCGCCUGGGGAGUACGGUCGCAAGGCUAAAACUCAAAGGAAUUGACGGGGACUCACACAAGCGGUGGAGCAUGUUGCUUAAUUCGAUGCAACGCGAAGAACCUUAUCCUGGGCUUGACAUGUAUGGAUGCCUACCUGGAAACAGGAUCGGUUGCCCUUCGGGGUGAAACGUACACAGGUGCUGCAUGGCUGUCGUCAGCUCGUGUCGUGAGAUGUUGGGUUAAGUCCCGUAACGAGCGAAACCCUUGUCGCUAGUUGCCAGCGGGUAAUGCCGGGGACUCUAGCGAGACUGCCUGUGUCAAACCGGGGGAAGGUGGGGAUGACGUCAAGUCCUCAUGGCCUUUAUGCCCAGGGCUGCAAACGUGCUACAAUGGCCGAGACAAAACGACGCAAGACCGCGAGGUGGAGCUAAUCGGAAAAAAUCGGUCUCAGUUCGGAUUGGAGUCUGCAACUCGACUCCAUGAAGUU